UACAGAGGUCCCGAGCGUUGUUCGGAUUUAUUGGGCGUAAAGAGCUCGUAGGUGGUUUGGUAAGUCGGAUGUGAAAUCUCCAGGCUCAACCUGGAGGGGUCAUUCGAUACUGCCAUGACUAGAGGUCGGUAGGGGAGUGUGGAAUUCCUGGUGGAGCGGUGAAAUGCGCAGAUAUCAGGAGGAACACCCGUAGCGAAGGCGGCACUCUGGGCCGAUUCUGACACUGAGGAGCGAAAGCGUGGGGAGCGAACAGG
rnacentral:rRNA from 1 species